rnacentral:rRNA from 14 species
GCCGCGUGAGUGAUGAAGGCCUUAGGGUUGUAAAGCUCUUUUACCCGGGAUGAUAAUGACAGUACCGGGAGAAUAAGCCCCGGCUAACUCCGUGCCAGCAGCCGCGGUAAUACGGAGGGGGCUAGCGUUGUUCGGAAUUACUGGGCGUAAAGCGCGCGUAGGCGGUUUUUUAAGUCUGAUGUGAAAGCCCACGGCUCAACCGUGGAGGGUCAUUGGAAACUGGAAAACUUGAGUGCAGAAGAGGAAAGUGGAAUUCCAUGUGUAGCGGUGAAAUGCGCAGAGAUAUGGAGGAACACCAGUGGCGAAGGCGACUUUCUGGUCUGUAACUGACGCUGAUGUGCGAAAGCGUGGGGAUCAAACAGGAUUAGAUACCCUGGUAGUCCACGCCGUAAAC